AGUGAAAGUUAGUCGGUGAGACGGGCCUUCGGGAUAGCCAGAGGCUACGAGUGUAUAUCUGAAAAUUCUUCUCUCGUUACCAGGCCAAAGUCAUUCCAAAAGUACGAUAUGAAAAAUAAAAACCGAAUGCAGAGAAAACGAAGAAAAAACAACAAAGAGAAGAAUUUUAGUUUUCAAUCUAAUAUACCGAUGUAUUCGAACGAUUGGCUAUUCGACGACAUUUUGGACCGCUUAAUCGGUGUCAUUCUCAAAGGAGGAUUCACGGCUCGAUACCAUACACGCGGUGCAGUCAAACACAGGAAAUUUGAAACGAAAAGAUGAUAUUAGAAGCGUCGGAGAAUAUUUUUGUAUGGAAGAAUAGAACGAACAAAAGCGUUCGAACGACUAUCAUUUUUCCAUGGUAGUCAGAUACAACCUGUUGCUAAGAGGCCUGAGGAAAUUCGCACGCGAAACGGUGCGAAUCGGCAAGUAGUAGACUCGACUCAGACAAGCGCAAAGGACUGAGUAAGAAAAAACAUUGGCCGUAAAAAAUAAAUGUGGAAUCGAGAAGAUUUUUCGAUUUCGAAUUGCAAUAUCUUAAGAAAAAGAAAAAAGAAGAAAGAGGAAUCACAAUACCGUUCGAGCCGAGAAAGAUGACGAUUGAAGAAAGAAAUGAAUAGCUGACUAGACAAGAAUGCAAACGCGGCAACAUUUGCCUCGACCUUGUCAGUCACGUUUACCGAGAAUCAACAGAAUUUUAUUUAUUUUAUUCUAAAUCAAUGAAUCCUAACAGUUAAGCCUUCGUAUUCAUCGCAAGAUCGAAUAAUAUUUGGACCGAUGGCACGAGAAUGAAAAGAAAAGAAAAGAAAAGAGAGAAGAGCAUACCUGUUGUUCGAGUUGAGGACACGGGCCGAACCGAUACGUGAAUUUUAAGUCCGCUACUGCUUGCUCCGUCUUACCAAGGGCACAUAGACUCGUAUCGAAAGAAGAGGAAAGAGAGGAGUCACACCUGGCGCGGUACAAGAUGAGAUCACUACCGCACUCACUGAUCAACUGGCCCCGCGCCCCACGUCUGGGGCCGCACGCACCUUUCGCGUUACCCCUUCCCCUUCGAACUCCGGAACCUGGAGCUCCUUGGCCCCCUCGGGGCCCCUUCGGCCCUCUUCCACCCUCCAGUCCCCUCCAUAUCCUCUUUACCUCUUCAGCUUCGUUUCGAAUGCCCAUUGGUCCGUUCAAAUCGACAUCGUGACGUCACCGAACCGAACUGCCGACAUAUAUACGAGAGGAACGAGUCUCUCUCUUUUCUUCUUUCCUCUCCUCUCCCCUCUCUUACUUUCUACACCGCUCCAUUCCGUUCCUUGCCGUGCUGUUCCCCUUCGUGGAUCCGCUCUUUUCUCUUGUAUCUUCUCUCCCCUAUGCUCUUCACUUGGUCUUCUUUCCCCGACUACCUGUCCUCCUACCUAUGUCCGUUUUCUAUCGUUCUCUUCUUCUCUGUCCCUCCCUCUCUCUUCCCUUCUUUGGUCGGUCUUCUCGUUUGGCCGGCUCUCUUGGAGCAUUACCGCGGCAUCCCUGUCCUUCUACCUGGUUGAUUCGUUCUUUAUCGCGUUGCCUCGUCUACCUUUUCCUCGCGCCGGCAUCUCGUUCUCCUUGUUCUCGAACGCUCUUCUGGCUCUUGCUGCGAGUUCGCGAUCUUUCCACACGACGUCUCGUAUAUUCUCCUUUUGUUUCUUCCGUUUUAUAACCGUUGACCCGUAAACUUUUCUUUUUAUAUUCUCUCUUUAACGAUCUCCGCAGAUUUUUCAAAGAUAAAGUUUUGUUCGGGAUUACAUCGCUCUCUUCUCUUUCUUCUUUUCUUCUUCUUCUUCUCCUUCUCCUUUUUCUUCUUCUUCUUCUUUCCUGUCAAUAAGAAGCUCCAGUUUCUAUUUUCACUUCUUCUUUUCUAAUGUGAAAAGCUUUCUUUUCCCGUUAACAAUGGCUGUCGGUUACCUAUACGGUGCGUCGGUGACUUGCAAUGUUCGUAGGCAGCGCAGAUCCGUUAAGUCGAAUCGUGGUUCCUUUCCUCCUGGUCGGUCGCGGCUGUACCGGUCGCCAGCCAACGAGAUUGUCCGCAAGAGGUUUGCCGCGGUGGUUGCCGCCACCGCCACAGCCACCGCCAUCGCCACCGCCACCGCCAACGUCGUCGCCACAACGAAGCGAGAGUAGCCCGCCAGGUAUAUGGGGAGACAGAAAAAGGAAAAAAGGACGCAUUCCAACGACUAUAGUCGGUCCAUAACGAUUCCCAUACGUUGAGAGUGCGCAACGAACAACCAAUGACCCCUCUACCGAUCUCUCGCGCCUCCUCCUUUUCCCUCCUUCUCAGCCUUCUUUUUCUCUUCCCUUUCACAUCCUCUCCUUCUCCGUUUCUCAUCUUCCUCCUGUUCUCUCUUCUGCGUUUUGCACGAUUCCACGUGUCUCGUCUCGUCUUGUCCCUCUUUUUCUUUCUUCUGUCUUCUUUUUCUCUUCUCUUCUCUUCUCUCCUCUCUCACCGAUCGUUUCGCUCGCGUACCUGUCUACGUACGUUUACCUAUACAUACGCGCGCGUCGCGUAUACCUCGCGCGAUCGAGGUGAAGGCUCGGCCUCGUAUGUACCUCUACGUAGCCGGUCUGUCCUCUCGUUUUUCGAAGAAUUCACGACGUCACCACAAUGAUCGCCGACGAGUCGAAUAUUUCUCGAAUACCCAAACUACCUUCUUCUUCUUCUUCUUCUCCUUCUUCUUCUUCUUCUUCUUCUCGCCCCUUCUCGAAUAUCCUCGUCGGGCUUCUCGGCUUUGCACCUCUCUUUGGCAACCGAACGAAUCCAAUCUUUGUUAUACCGACUUAACUUCCAUGGAUACACUUUGACUCUGAUUCUAAUUUUAAUUACAGAUAUAUAGAAGAAGAAGAAGUCGAUUUUCUUCAUUGCGUAUUCACCUGAGAAGAUUGCUCGAUGAUCCUUGUCGAAUCUAUUAGCGACGGGACACGAAAAUUCGUGGAGAAAAAUACUCUCUGGUAGACCUUGCGUGGGAAUUUCACGCGUGCCUCGACGAUAGCACUUUUUCUCCGAUUCCUCGUCGAAUUUCGUAAUAAGACGUUAUUCUUUUACUUCGAAUGCAUACAUGCGAAUACGUACAUGCGCGCACGCAUACAUAUGUUAGAUUAUUAAACUUGAUGUUCUCAUCUGUCCAAUUCCUUCUCGAAUGAAUGAAGGAAUUAGUAAUCCGUUUUCUAAUGAUACGAUAUAAUUGCUUCGUUGUCUGAUAAUUGAACCAUGUCCUACAACAGAAAAAUUACGAUUUAAAACGUCUACUGUCGUCGCCAUCCGCAUGCCUCGCUAACUAAUUAGCGGUACGUGACACGAAAUGUAAAAUUGUAUAUUUUCAAAUUCGAGUUUAAAUUGCACAUUAUGCGUGGCGUGGCACGAAAACGAUGGCUAAUUCCAGCCAUAGCUCGACACGUGUUAUUCGAAAUCAAUUCCUCUUUUUUUUUUUUUAAACGCGGCUGUUUAGUUAUAUCGAGGGUAAUGGCCCGUUGAAAGUAAUCUUAAAAAUAGUUAAUUCGAGAGAGAAAAAUUUCUCUUUUAACUUAUUUUCUUUCGAUGAAACGCUUUUUAUGUUCAAACGCAUUUAUGCACCCUAAAGAUACGCCUGUUUGAACGACGUAGGAUCGGUUCCGCUGUCUGAAAGUACGUCCUGGGAAGUUCCUACACGUGUCAUCCAUUUUCAGUUUGUGGGAAAGGCAGCGCCGUGACGGAAAGCAUGUGCACGAACAAGUGAUGUACAAUCGCAAUUUCAAUGUUGGUUUAACAAUCCUCGAAAUAUUUCGAUUAAUAUUUCGUGAUUCUCGAAAAUGAUUCAGUUGUAUCUCGUCAAAAUGGUUGGUUGCGCAUAUUAAAAACCGGAUCUUUAUACUCGCGGGUGUGGUUUCUUAAUUUACGUUCCGACUUCUCCGUUCAACAAGACCAAACGACGUUUUUAAGUCGUCGGUGAUUCAAAACGCGAAUUAGGGAGGGGAUAGUCUUUCUUUUUUCAAAAGUAAAUUCGUUCCCUAUUCCGUUAAAACAUCAAGAAACAAAGAACCGGCGAACUUUCGGACCCCAACUUAUUCUCGGAAUGUUAUUGCAACGUAAAGCCGUACGUGACGCUCACGUGAAUGAAAUUUUGCAUGCGUAUCGGUUUGCCCUGAGUGCCAGGACCUCGAAGGUCGAAUUCGAUAUCGGUUUGUGCGACUGGUAUUACAAAUUUACUCGGAGAAGAAUAUACUUUUCCUCUUUUUUCUUUAUCAGUUGUAGAAGAAGAUCGAUGAAAAAAAUCGUGAUUAACUUAAAUUAAAUUGAAAUAUCUGAAAGAACGGGAAUGAUGAAUAAGUGGCGCGAUUUCGUUAAACGGAAAUGGAAAAUCCAAUUUAUCAGGAUUCUUCGCAAGGAAUUUCCUCGCUUGAUUCUGAACCUUAACCGUGGUCGGUCAAGGACGAUUUUUAUUGUUCGUUUCGAAGAAGGAUCCUUCGAAAGGAUCGGUACUGUUAUAUCCCUGUUCUGGUAACUCACCUGCGUCUGUCCAGGUACAAAGCUAAUUCAGCCCUGCGUACAAGCGUUGGCGUCACGAGCUGACGCCCUUCGACUUCCGCCGGAUGUACACCGUCCUUGCUCCGCACCGGCGUUCCUAUCGUUGUUCUUGUAUGCACCUGAUUCUUUUUUUUUUUUAUCACUUAAACCAAUUAUUUCGGAUCGAUCAUUUUAAUCGUACAAUUUUCAAUAAAAUGGACAGGGUAUUUGAAUGAUUUCUUUUUAAAAAAACUCAUCAAAAUCGGUAAAGAAAAAUCACGCUUUCCCUGCAUACGAGUGAUGUUACCAUGUGCAAAAGUUUCUCGCGAUGAGACACAUUUCGAAAACAAAAGAGAGGCACCGAAAAUCGAGGUUCUCAUUCGCAUUCGUUACGAUUACGCGGAAGACUGUGAGACAAUUUAAAAUGCGAUGGUCACGCGCAACUACCAACGAAAGCAAUUUGAAUAGCGCGGAGCCGUUAAUCGAUUAUGUCUACAGUUCACGAAAUUCGUAGUUGGUAACAAAGAAAGAAGAGAGGAGAGACAUCCUUUGCGUUUCGAAAUGUCUCUACAUUUGAUUCACUUUCGAUUAACCGUUUCUAUUUUGUUAUAAAACGACGCAAAAAAAAAAAAAAGAAAAAAGAAAAAAGAAAGAAAUGUAAAACCAUCGAUUGAACCAAGAAUGAAAGCGUUUUUCCUUGAUUGGACAUGACAAGAUUUGUUCAACGGAAGCCGCCGUAAAACUUGGACCGUUGGCACGAAAGACGGCCGUUACCGGGAGAAGACUAUAGAAAUCGGUUCGCACCUGCCUGGCCCGGUAAAAAGAAAAACCUACCCAGAACCCCCGUGAGCCCCGAGGUCUAAAGUAAGUUUAUGGAUGUCUCGCCCCUUAUUCGUGACCGUCCCGGCACAGGUUUCGAGUUUGAGAGAUUUCCAACGCUCCCGCGUUUUCUUAUAGGGAUUUGCUGCUACAGCUUUUCUCCGUGCCGAUUUCCUUCACAAAUAUUUCGUAUUCCCUCUCUCCUCGUGUAUGUGUUCAUUGGGCAAUACCAUCGUGUACUGUGCACAAGUUUUUUACGAAGCCUUAUCCGAUCGAAGCUUGCAGAACGCGGUAAAAUAUACGGUUCAAGUAUAUUUUUACGGUUCGGCGACGAAGUUGAUUUCAAAAAUUCCUCGUUACGGAAUGGUGUUUGGAGUCUCCGUGAUAGUUGUACAAUAAUCUUCUAUUUUUAAAGGAUCGUUCCAUUCGUUUAAAAGCUGAAGAAACCUCUUGAACCCGUUUGUUUUCCCCAAUCUUUUUCCCCAAUUAACGUUCCCCGCCCCGGUAAACUUUUGACACUCUCACACUAUAAACAUGUGUGAAAAUGUAUCCUCGAUGCGAUCGACAAGCCUUUUAAACCUGUUUCGUUGCAGAGAGAGAUACGAAAAAAGAGAUCGCGGAACAGAACGAAUAAACGUGUUGAUAGUUUCACGAGAGAAUUUAGUCUAACGUUUUCUAAGCGAUACCGUUUCACAUUUCCAUACGAUUAGGAAUCUGAAAGGCUAAUCCGCCAGGUUAACAGCUUCAUUCUGUUUAAAGUUUAAGUUAACGAUCUUCGAAAAACUGUUGUACCCGAUCGGAUCCUGCGAUACGAUUGAGUUGAUGUUUUCAUAUAAGAAACGAGGAGAAGAGACAUUUUGUAUUAUAACUGUUAUAUUUGAUCGAAAAAAAAAAAAAUGAAUUUUAUUCGUCGAAAAUGAAUUCGAAGUGGAUUAAAAAGGUAUAUGGCGUUGUCGAGAAAUCGAUAUUGCGAUUGUCGGUCUGGAAGUGUUGAAGUCUCCGAACUCCAACAAGAUAAGUUAAGAUAGAUUUUACAAUAUUCCGAUUCUUCGACGUGUAAUUAUAAUUUUUUCGCGUGUUAAUUUGUUCGCAUUUUUUCAGGAUGCUGAAGGGGAGAAAAAGAAAUUUUCGAAGAGACUUGGAGAGCGUUCGUCGGUCGAUAUAAUCCGAAUUAGAAAAGAGCGAAUGGGAAAUAUAUACAGAGGAGAGAAUUGUAAUUAUCCGGUUCGUGCUGGCGGCGGAACGGAAAUCCCAUACGUUUGAAGAAAAAUCGAGAUCGUUCCGAGUAGGAGAGUUGACCAAAAAGUUUCGAGAGUAAAGAGAAGCUUCUGCCGAGAGAAUGACUCGAGGCAGAACACCGAUGAUGUCAUCGGUCGGCGGAUACUCGCGCCUACGCUUUUCUCUCUACCAGUUUCACUGGCAGGGAUACCGCGUGUGCUCGUUCUUGGAGCCACUCUACACGAAGACCCAACCUCCACUACCGAUUCCCCUUUUCGCUUCUCUUCUUAGCUGUACCUUUCGCUUCUCUUCUAUCCACUGGCUCGAGGUCUCUCUACACUUCGUAUCGUACGAGGACGAGGGGAGCGAUAUAACGUGCCGAGGACAUGCUCGAUUCUACCUUCAUGCCAGUCUACAUUGCCGGUAUAUACCGGUUAUGCAGAUGGAGCUUGGUCUGGACCCCCUCGGCAAACCCUCCAACAGAAAAUCUCAUCUUAUUCUUCUUCAUCAUCUUCUUCUUCUGUUCUUCUUCUUCUUUCUCCUCUUCUCCUUUUUCUCUUCAUCAUCAUCGUCAUUAUCAUUAUCAUCGUCGUUAUCAUCAUAGUCAUCCUCAUCCUUCGUUGUCAUCCACUUCUUCCUUCCCUUUCCUCGCAUCUUUUCUCUUCGUCUCUGUUCCCUCCUUGUUUCCCAGUUAUGUGUUAAGCCGUCGUUGUACUUUCCGUCUCUAUCCCACGACAAGCAAUGUUGCUUUGCCUUUAUACACGAUCAUCCGGAUAUACCUACGCUCGUUCGUACCUUUUUCUCGAUUUUUCUGCUUGCCCUUCGCUGUUUCGCUCCGUCUGAACUUCUUCGCAGCCGUUAAAACAGUUAAGGUACUAUGGUAUGAACGAAGAUUGCACAGCUUUCUCGAAGUUAUUUACAGACGGAUUUUUUCCCUCGAACAGGUAUUUCGCUUCGAUAGCUGGUAAGCCAACUCCGAAGUUGAAAAUAAAGAAUUCCAAUCGAUCGAUCCGUCCCAAGAUCAACGUGAUUAAGGAAUUACGCGGUUAUUAAUCGAUCGUAAUUUUUCUCUUGUCAAUGCUCUUUUCCUUUUUCUCUUAUUUUCUUUUCUUUUCAUCCUUAACUCUUGUCGCGUACGUUUGAAUUAUUAUUUUUCAUCGAUAUUUCAACAAUUUUAACGAGGCGAAUAAUAAGCAGCAGAAAGAGUUAUUUCGUUGGCACUGUUUUCAGGUGUGACAGAUCCUUUUUGGGGAACACAAUAGCUUCGUUGAUCGCAAAUCAACUUCGCAGUUGAAAGAACUGCGAUUAAAUCGCCGCCAUCUACGAUCACCCGUGCCUCGUUGCGGUACCUCGUUAAAAUCGACACGACUGUUCCAAUCCUCUUCUUUCGAACCUAUUACUUUUCAAAUAUUCCUUGGAAAGAAAUCGUAAUUGGACGAGAUAAGUAAGAAACGUCUACAGUUGUUAGAAAAGUACAUUUCUAAACUCGUUAUAUCGUAUCGGUAUGAAACGAUCGUGUCGAAAAUUUCGUGUCGAUUCAAAAGAAAUACAAAGAAACAUUAUAACGAUAAUCAUAAUAUGAAAAAUAUGCUUUCUUAACACGUUAAUGAGAUAAAUUUUGUCGCGAACCAUCGAUAAGCUACUUUAACAAACUGGGUCCUGGCACGCUAUAAUGUCACGAAGAUCGUAAUUAUUCGAUGUAAUAGGUCCCUUUUAAGUAGUUGCGGAUAAUUCAUUGCUUUCGAUUUGACCGACGCAAAAGUCAAGCUGAAUUAUCACGACAACGAGCGACAACGUUACCAGUCCUCCAUUUCGUAACCUCUCAAAUGACUAAGAGCAUUUACAUCGAUAACAAUAUCUAUGAGAACUUUCAAGUGGUUAUAUUACGCGUAUAAUUUGAAUUUUUUUUCUUUUUUCUUUUUGCGCAUGUCUAUCGUAAUCACGAAUUAAAUUACGGAAAAUAUUUUAGACGAUACUCGAACGUCGAUCGUUGAACGUACGGAGAAUCAAGCGGAGAAUCAAGGAAAAACCGGUUGAAAAAUAAGAGAAAGAUUUCGAUAAAGAGAAGGAAUUAAAAAAUUAAAAACUGAUGCCUCGCAUGUAUGUGAAGUUUAUUUGUUGAUAUUAAGAACGUGAGUUAUUGUGCAAAUAAUUGCCGCGGCUGUCUACACUUGUCACGGUUGCUUACAAAGUAAGGCGUGCUGCUCGCGACGAUUACGUCUUUGCAAACAAGAGGAAAGAAAGAGGAUAACGAUGCAUCUUUUCACCGAAAUUCGAAGAAAAUUUUGAAUAUCUAAUAUCUUCCUCCGCAAAACAAAAGUUACGUCAUGUUUCAGCUAUACUAACGAGCUAAAAAAUUUUUCUUGUUUCUCAAAUUAUAUAUAUUUAGAUUAUUUUAUAUUUUAUAUUUAUACUUGACCUUCCUCUCUCUCUCUCUCUUUCUCUUCGUUUUUUAUUCUCGCUUAUUUUAAAUCGGUAAAAGUCACGCGUUUUGCCAAAAAACGUGGAAAUCACAUAAUAUUCCACGGGCAAUGCGAAGGUUUUCGAAUGCGCGAAACGUUCGUGGAAUAAAUUUAGGUGGUACUUGAGCGGAAAGCUGAUCCACCGGACACAGCGAGUUGCGAAACUUCUUCAUGAGUACCGUCAUGAAGUUUUACUGAGAUCAGUACCGGUUCACCGUUUCGAACUUUUAAACGAAAAUGAGAUAUUAAAUCGGAGGAACGACGAUCGCGAAAGUAAGUUCGAGGAUAUCAUUGGCGCGAGGGCAAGCCUGGGAAUACGUGGAAUAUAAUUAUACGUGUAUUGCGAAAACUUUGCCGGAUAAUAGAGCGCGUACGAUCCCUGGCAAAGGUUCGUAGAGAACGGUGAAUCAUUUAUGCGGAACGGGGUCCAACAUACGGGAAGAUUGCGCAUGCAUUGGUUAUGUAUCUUCUCAGAGGAACUAUCGUCGUAUCGUCAAUGGAUAGUCUCACAGUUUUGCGAGCAUUUUUAUCAGCUUGUUGUCCAUAUAAAGGGAAUAAUGGAGCGGUUGCAAUUGCCUUGGAGACGAUUGCAACAGAAUCAGAAGAUAGAUUCGUGAUAAUGUAUAUACACAGGCGACUCCUGUCUGCCAUACUUGCCUAAUCGAACGUUCAAAUGCAUAAAUUGCAUUGGCGCACGUAAAUAGAUCACGACUCGUUCCUCGAGAAUGGGUUAAGGAAUGAAAUGGAUAUUGGCUCGUUUUUUUAAUUCGUUACAACCAGUGGACAUCGAAAAUUAAGGAGCAACAGGUACUUGAGGGAACGUCAAAAAACGGUGCUCGCCUCGAUUACAAAUCUCACGGCGAAGAUGUCCGAAGAUAGCGAAAGAAUAUUCGAGCACCCCAAUGGGGCCCAUUAGGAUCCAAAGGUAGUUGGGCCAGUCCUCUAUCUGACUGUCCUUCUUUCUCUCUUAUUCUCGAUGAAUCCAUGGUAGAGGAGGCGGGGGAUGGUUGGCCGGUCAAGCCACAUUCCGUUGGCCAACCGGCUCCUUGGAACCCUUCCUCCCCCUCUUUAGUAGACGGUUCUCUAUAUACAAGCUCUCGCCUUCUUAUGCACCACUACGAUAUGUGCCCACAAGACCGCCAAUAUUAUUUCGACUAGACAGCGGUCGACUCGACGCAACCUUGUCAGAGAGCAAUGCAUAGGUAUCUGCUUUCACAGAGUGAAACGUUACUGGGAAGAAAACCUCAAAGGUCGAGUUUAACGCGCAUACUGCAUGUUUGCUCACACCGCUUCUCAGAAACUUCUUUUGUUAUUCUCAAAAAAACACAAGUAACGUGACGUUCCUCAUUUUUACCUAUUCAAUUCGAUUCGAUUUGUUCGUGUCAUGAUUUUUCUCGCCUCGAUUGCUUAAUUUUCUCAUUCUAUGCCUAUUAGUCAUUCGUGUUGUAAUAAUAUAUAUAUAUAUAUUAUAUAUAUAUAUAUAUGUGUGUGUAUAUAUAUUUUCACGCGAUAUUAUCAUACUAUAUUUUAAAUUUUAUCUUCCAUUUAAAAUCGGAUUUCGUGAUUAAAGAAUCGAAAAAGAUACGAUGAAAUUAUUCUUAUUCAAUUUUUUUUUUCCGUUUAAAAAAUAUUUUCUUAAAUUCAAAUUCCGACGACUAUCAGAUAUAUAAAUGGCGUUAAUCUCGAUGAUUUUGAUAAAUAUCGAAUCGGGCAUCGUCCAUCUAUCCCGGAACCGUGAAAGUAUAAAUAUUUCCAACGAACAAUGUCGCUGUGCGAUCGUGGGGUCGAGGUCCCGAGGAAGGUUCGAGAGAACUCGCCCACGUAGGGUGUUGUAAAAGUUUGGUACGAAUCUGCCCUCCGCCAACCACCUUCGCCGCUAUCAUACUCCAACUGCUUCCCCUCUUCUUCCAUCACUCCUCUUAACUUCUCUUUCAUCUCCUUUACUUGUUCUCCCUCUUGCCGUCGUUUGCUCUCACCACCUGCGAUCUUUGCCUUCUCGUUCCUCUGUUCAUUGACUUUUUAUCUCGCUUUUACCACGGAUCUCUUCGUCCUCUUCGUGCUUGCGCUCAAAUACGCUAAACGACGGAAACGUUCGAUCGUUCCAUACCCACUCGUCGUAAUGCAUUGCGUCGCGUCGCAUAGCGUCGCACAGCAUCGACGAGGCCCAAGAAUAUAAUACGGAUACCUUGGCAUGGAAGGUGGUUGGUCGGCUAAGAUGUUUAAGGGGGAGACUCUCCCGAGAGCGGUGAUCCUCCGCUGAGAGAGACCGCAGAAGCGAGGAAUGAGUUGAGGAGGUGAGGAAGGGGGCUCAUGCGCAGAGGGUGUCGACGGUGGACUCAAGAGGCAAGGGGGCUUUCUCGGACCCCGAGGGCCUCUGGACAAGUCAGCAAGAAGAACGGCAGGGAUGCAAGCGGGGAAGAGAGAAGGAUGAGAAGUGACCGGAUGGCCUUGGUCCCAAGACUUGGUUAGUUACUGUGCGGCCGACUAUAACUGGUCGAGAACUUCGUAACACACAGGGCGGUAUCUUCGACUUCGACCGCUUUUUAAAACAACCGCGAUACCAUGUAACAUAUUACAGAUACAAAACUAACCCCUAAACAUGGAUCAUACCGUGCAAAACAAUCAUCAUCUUUACUGAAAAUGGUUGAUUUUUCGUAGCAGGAUAUAAAUAUAUAAUAUCGUGGGACAUUUUUAAAUUAGAUCGGAACAGGAACAAAAAUAUAAGAAUAAUUAUGGCUCAUUUAUUAAAUUAUAAACAAUUUAAUUGCGUUAAAUGAAAUGAGAUAUAAAUACAAUGAAAUUACUCUUCGUCGCUUUCUAUUUUCAUCUAAUGCAAAAUUAAAUUACUUAUAAUUUAAUAAUUUUUGAUUCUCCUGAAUUCAUAUCCCACGAAUAACGUAAUAAUCUUGAUUAUCUUCGUAUAAAAGAUGUUAUUGGAGACUUGAAUCGCAAACUUAUAGGAGGUUUCUGUCUGAAGUGAAAAUGAAUGGCCUGGUUAUUUAGUCAGCAUUGCUCGUUAUUGCUCAACAGGGGCGACUUAUGGAGCCAUAUAAGAAAGUAUAUCUGUUACUCGCAAGAAACUACAUGCUAGCGCUUCACUAAGCUUGUAUAGAUUCAUGGAGUUAAUAAUUAUCUUUCGUGAGUUUGCAAAACUUAUUACUUAUUAUUUGAAGUACAUGUAACGCAUAAAAUAUCAAAGAUGUAUGAUCUUUUCCAAAUAUGCCGAAUAUCUCUUGAUCUGAAAUUCACGAAUAAAAGAAUGUAAUAUAAUGUUAUGUAUACAACGAUAUGUAUAAUAAAAAUAAAAAGAGCAAAUAGACGUGAACUUUCA